rnacentral:rRNA from 1 species
AUUGAACGCUGGCGGCAGGCCUAACGCAUGCAAGUCGAGCGGAUGAAGGGAGCUUGCUCCUGGAUUCAGCGGCGGACGGGUGAGUAAUGCCUAGGAAUCUGCCUGGUAGUGGGGGAUAACGUCCGGAAACGGGCGCUAAUACCGCAUACGUCCUGAGGGAGAAAGUGGGGGAUCUUCGGACCUCACGCUAUCAGAUGAGCCUAGGUCGGAUUAGCUAGUUGGUGGGGUAAAGGCCUACCAAGGCGACGCUCCGUAACUGGUCUGAGAGGAUGAUCAGUCACACUGGAACUGAGACACGGUCCAGACUCCUACGGGAGGCAGCAGUGGGGAAUAUUGGACAAUGGGCGAAAGCCUGAUCCAGCCAUGCCGCGUGUGUGAAGAAGGUCUUCGGAUUGUAAAGCACUUUAAGUUGGGAGGAAGGGCAGUAAGUUAAUACCUUGCUGUUUUGACGUUACCAACAGAAUAAGCACCGGCUAACUUCGUG